UUAACUUGUAUUGCCAGAGCGCGAGCAAAUAAGCAAAAAGAUUAGAAGGGGAUCCGAAGGAUCCCCUUGCUUCAUAAUAAAAUUGUGUAGACUAAGUGGGAAAAAGAUAAAACAAGGGAUUUAAAAGAAUCCCGGGGCGCGGGAAGGGGGUGCCAAUGGCGUGGUUUUCCCCCCCCGCCCCGGGUCCCGAUUUAUAUGAAAAACCACUCUUUUUAUUAAGAUUACUGUCUACAACCGUACAAGUAAGAUAGUUUGGUUGGGGCGACCGCCUUCGAAAAAGUAUCGAAGGCGCACAUAAGAUUAGUCCGGAGGGGGGUCCGAAGGCCCUCCCGGGGGUAAUGCCCCAAAGAAAAGAUUAGUUUGACUGAGAGGGCUACAACCCGAACAGGCGCUAUUAAAAAGGGAUAAAAAGUCUUUUUGCGGGUCAUAGUGAUCCGUUGUUAUAUUGUGGGAUUGACAACGAUCAACGAAGA
rnacentral:rRNA from 1 species